CUGAAAUCUAGAGUUCUGAAGACUGGAGAAGCCCAAGCCUUAGUGUCACCGAACCAGGUUCCGAAUUCUGAGUCCUCCAACCAUUAGAUAAAUGAUGAGGGCCAAAAGUGGGAACUAUUGGAACUGGAAAGAAGGGAAGUUAUUGGUGAAAAACUAAUGUUGAACCCAAGUUACAAGGCUCCAUCUACAAGC